AGAGUUUGAUCCUGGCUCAGGACGAACGCUGGCGGCGUGCUUAACACAUGCAAGUCGAACGAGAGGAGAAGGAAGCUUGCUUCUUUCAAAUCUAGUGGCAAACGGGUGAGUAACACGUAAACAACCUGCCUUCAGGAUGGGGACAACAGACGGAAACGACUGCUAAUACCGAAUACGUUCCUUAGGUCGCAUGACUUUAGGAAGAAAGGGUGGCCUCUACUUGUAAGCUAUCGCCUGAAGAGGGGUUUGCGUCUGAUUAGGUAGUUGGUGAGGUAACGGCCCACCAAGCCGACGAUCAGUAGCCGGUCUGAGAGGAUGAACGGCCACACUGGAACUGAGACACGGUCCAGACUCCUACGGGAGGCAGCAGUGGGGAAUCUUCCGCAAUGGGCGAAAGCCUGACGGAGCAACGCCGCGUGAGUGAUGACGGCCUUCGGGUUGUAAAGCUCUGUGAUCGGGGACGAACGGUCAGCAGACGAAUACUCUGCUGAAGUGACGGUACCCGAAUAGCAAGCCACGGCUAACUACGUGCCAGCAGCCGCGGUAAUACGUAGGUGGCAAGCGUUGUCCGGAAUUAUUGGGCGUAAAGGGCGCGCAGGCGGCGUCGUAAGUCGGUCUUAAAAGUGCGGGGCUUAACCCCGUGAGGGGACCGAAACUGCGAUGCUAGAGUAUCGGAGAGGAAAGCGGAAUUCCUAGUGUAGCGGUGAAAUGCGUAGAUAUUAGGAGGAACACCAGUGGCGAAAGCGGCUUUCUGGACGACAACUGACGCUGAGGCGCGAAAGCCAGGGGAGCAAACGGGAUUAGAUACCCCGGUAGUCCUGGCCGUAAACGAUGGAUACUAGGUGUAGGAGGUAUCGACCCCUUCUGUGCCGGAGUUAACGCAAUAAGUACCCCGCCUGGGGACUACGAUCGCAAGAUUGAAACUCAAAGGAAUUGACGGGGGCCCGCACAAGCGGUGGAGUAUGUGGUUUAAUUCGACGCAACGCGAAGAACCUUACCAGGUCUUGACAUUGAUCGCUAUUCCAAGAAAUUGGAAGUUCCUCUUCGGAGGACGAGAAAAACAGGUGGUGCACGGCUGUCGUCAGCUCGUGUCGUGAGAUGUU
rnacentral:rRNA from 1 species